CCUGCUGAUUCUUCGGUUGUUAUAACAACAGAUUUAUAAUUCCGGUUACCAAAAUACAAACGUACUUCGUUGUUUGAAUGAAGUCGAUCUUGAGGAGUUUAGAGUACCAGCUACUACAAAUAAUUGUUUGCAUGAAAAGUAAGUCCCAACGUACAUCAAAUUGUCUUUAAAUUAAGGCAGAAGAAUUAUAAUUGAACUUUCAAAAGUCAUUUAACUGCAGCCAUGCUGGAGCACCACCUUUAGUCGAACAAAUCGACCCCAGGACGUAUUUUUUUUAACCUUUGCUCCAUUGUUCAUGCAUACAACCAACAGAGCAUAUUUGCCAUAUUUCAUAUCAGCCUUACAUUUCCUUUGCAACCAAUGCCAAUAUGCCACAACAAUGCCAUAUUACACUUUCUACUUGAGCAUCAGAGAAUCUGCCUUCUCUCAAAGAAAAAAAAACCCUUUGCUACCAACAGCUGAAGCUUGGCAACUUCACUAGUGCUGGUACCAUAAUAAAAGUACCCAGUACACUCUUUAAGUUGGUUGGUAUUAGAAAGGGCAUCCAGCCCAAGAAACCAUGCCAAAACUGAGACAUUGGAGCAAGAUAUGAACUUCCAACACACUGGAUCCUGUCAAAAUGACCAAACCAUGCCAGCUCGGAAAGCAGACAUAGCAGUAAUAACACUGCUGCUGAUGACAACAAUGAGGUAUACCUUCAAAGAGAGUCUAUUUACCUGUUGUCUACACUGGAAAAGUUGCUUAAAAUCCUCUUAUCCUCAUUGGAACAAUUUAGUUUUUCACUCAACUCUUCAAUGACAAUGUAUCUUUGAAAUAUAAAAUAUGACUUACCUUUGUAAAAUAUCCAUAGCAUAAAAAAAGCUAUCAGCUGUAUCAUUAUUUUCUACCUACAAGAGAACAAAAAUUUAAAAUCUGUUUUCAAGUCUCAAAGUUAAAUUUUUUAUAAAUUUGAAAUGUUGAAAAUUUUAGCAACUCAUUUGUUUUUA